rnacentral:rRNA from 1 species
UACGUAGGGGGCGAGCGUUGUCCGGAAUUAUUGGGCGUAAAGAGCGUGUAGGCGGUUCGGUAAGUCUGCCGUGAAAACCUGGGGCUCAACCCCAGGCGUGCGGUGGAUACUGCCGGGCUAGAGGGUGGUAGAGGCGAGUGGAAUUCCCGGUGUAGCGGUGAAAUGCGCAGAUAUCGGGAGGAACACCGGUGGCGAAGGCGGGUCUCUGGGCCGAUACUGACGCUGAGGAGCGAAAGCGUGGGGAGCGAACAGG